rnacentral:rRNA from 1 species
AGAGUUUGAUUCUGGCUCAGGAUGAACGCUAGCGGCAGGCUUAACACAUGCAAGUCGAGGGGCAGCGCGGGGUAGCAAUACUCUGGCGGCGACCGGCGAAAGGGUGAGUAACGCGUGAGCAACAUGCCCGAUAGAGGGGGAUAGUCAUUGGAAACGAUGCGUAAUACCCCGUAACAUUUGGAACCGCAUGAUUCUGAAUUGAAAGAUUUAUUGCUAUCGGAUUGGCUCGCGUACCAUUAGCUAGUUGGCGGGGUAACGGCCCACCAAGGCGACGAUGGUUAGGGGUUCUGAGAGGAAGGUCCCCCACAUUGGAACUGAGACACGGUCCAGACUCCUACGGGAGGCAGCAGUGAGGAAUAUUGGACAAUGGCCGAGAGGCUGAUCCAGCCAUGCCGCGUGCCGGGAGGACGGCCCUAUGGGUUGUAAACCGCUUUUGUUGGGGAGCAAUAAGUCUUACGUGUAAGAUGAUGAGAGUACCCAGCGAAUAAGCAUCGGCUAACUCCGUGCCAGCCGCCGC